rnacentral:lncRNA from 1 species
CUGGAAAAGCUGCAGACACUCAAUGCCAGCCUGUGAAAGCAGCCAGGAGGGAGGUUGUACCCUGCAAAGCUAAAGGGGCAGAGCUGCCCAAGACCAUGGGAACCGACCUCUUGCAUCAGUGUGACCUGGGUGUGAGACAUGGUGUCAAAGGAGAUCAUUUUGGAGCUUUAAGAUUUGACUGCCCCACUGGAUUUUGGACUUACAUGGGCCCUGUAGCCCCUUUGGUUUGGCCAAUUUUUCCCAUUUGGAACAGCUGUAUUUACCCAAUGCCUGUACCCCCCAUUGUAUCUAGGAGGUAACUAACCUUCUUUUGAUUUUACAGGUUCAUAGGCAGAAGGGACUUGCCUCAUCUCAAAUGAGACUCUGGACUGUGGACUUUUGAGUUAAUGAUGAAAUGAGUUAAGACAUUGGGGGACAUGACUGGUUUGAAAUGUAAGGAUACAAGAUGUGGGAGGGGCCAGGGACAGAAUGAUAUGGUUUGGCUGUGUCCCCACCCAAAUCUCAUCUUGUAUUGUAACUCCCAUAGUUCCCACACGUUGUGGGAGGGACCCAGUGGGUGAUAACUGAAUCAUGGGGGUGGUUCCCCCAUACUUUUCUCAUGGUAGUAAGUAAGUCUCAAAAGAUCUGAUGGUUUUACAAGGGGAAACCACUUUCACUUGGUUCUCAUUCUUUCUCUUGUCUGCUCCCACAUAAGACAUGCCUUUCAUCUUCCACCAAGAUUGUGAGGCCUCCCGAGCCACAUAGAACUGUGAGUCCAUUAAACCUCUUUUUCUUUAUAAAUUACCCAGUCUCGGGUAUGUCUUUAUCAGCAGCAUGAAAAUGGACUAAUACAACAAGCAACUUAAAUUGAGUCUCAGUUUCGUAAUCUCUAAAAUAGAAAAAAUAAUACCUUUAUGAUGUUAAUGUAUAAAAUAGAAACAAUGCAUAUAAUGAAACUAUAGUAGUAUACAGUACAAAGUCCUCAAUAAAUUAUAGCCAUUGUCAUCAUUAUCAUCCCUGAACCAUAAAAUGUUUUCAUUACUGUGAUUAUAGAAAAAUUGAAAAAAAAUCUUAAUCUGUAAAUCUCUGGCUUUUAAAAAAUAUAAUCACUCUGUAAUUUUUAUUAUUAUUUAAAAGAGAGUGCUAAUCUAAAAAAUAAGAAAAAAGUCCCUAUUAAGCCAGUAAGUUAUUUUCUAAUUAUCUGAAUUAUUUCCAUGAAUGUGAAGUAUGGAAAAUUAACAACUACAACAGAAACCCAUAUUCUUCCUUCAUCACAUUAAUACAAGGAUUACAAAGAACAUAUAAAAUCAGAUCAUAAGACAAUUCAACAUGUCAUUUCCAGUGUUAAUAAGGGAUAUUAAGUGGAAAUUUCAUAACCGUAUGAAUAAGAACUCUCAAAAUUCAACUGACAUGGUCUUCUGUUUUUGAGUCCUGUAUCUUUCACUGUAAUAAGCAAAGAUUAUAAGUAUACUUUCUGGUAUUCAAGUUUGAAAAGUAUGUAAUGUUUAUCGAUGUAGAAAACUGCUUUCAACAAAUACAUAAUCUCAGCCUAUGGUUUCACUGGAUCACUAACUUUUCAUUAUUAUACAUUCUAUAAUCAUCAUCUCAUGUAAAUAUUGUAGAAAAAUACUAUAACGGUAUACCUAACUAGAUCCCCUCCAGACAAUUUUUAACCACUGUUCUAGAGCCUGAUAUCAGUAACCAAAAAAAUAAUCAGAAAACCCUACAGAGUGUGAUUCUACUAUUUAUAUCUACGGAUAAAUCAAAACUACUGUAUAUAAUUGUUAAAUAAAAUCUGAGGCCAGUGAUGAUUUUUCUAGUAAAAGUAAACAGCCACUAAAAUACAACAUUUACAUGUAGUGGUUACAUGAAAACAAAAAAAACAAAAACACAGCCAGGUGCAGUGGCUCACACCUGUAAUUCCAGUACUUUGGGAGGCCAAGGCAGGAAGAUCCCUUGAGGCCAGGAGUUGAAAACCAACCAGAGCAACAGAGCAAGACUCCAUCUCUAUAAAAAAACUUUAAAAAUUAGCCAAGCAUUGUGAUGCACAUCUGUAGACCCAGCUACUCAGGAAGCUGAAGUGGGAGGAUCGCUUGAGCACAGGAGUUCGAGGCUACAGUGAGCUACAAUCAUGCCACUGCACUCCAGCCUGGGCAACAGAGCAAGAGCCUGUCUCUGUCUGUCUGUCUGUCUGUCUGUGUCUCUAUUUAUUUAUAUAUAUAUGUGUGUGUAUAUAUACACACAUAUACAUAUAUAUAUACAAGUACAUAUACAUAUACAUAUACACACAUAUAUAUACUGGUAAUAAAAAUAGUAUUUUUAAUACACACAUGCAAAGAAGAAAGUUUGGAAAACUAAAUAACAAAGAUAAUGCAGAUGAUUUUUACUUCCUUAAACUUAUUUACAUAUUUUUAACUUUCUAACAUAAAGAUGUAUUCACUGUUUAACUUUUUAGUUUUAAAGAAGUUAACAGCAUGAGUUAAAAGAUCCACUCUACAGUUUCUUCUCUUGAGUAGGUGGAUGCUGUUUUUCUACCCUGUAUACCACAGAAGUCAAUGAAAAUGUUUACUGAAUAAAUACAUAGGAUUGAACGACUGAAAAAUCUAGGUCCCAGGAAUAGGAAAUAUAAGUUCAAAAAUAAAUGAAGGCAAUGUGCAUAAAGAAGGCAAUAUUCUUAUACUGACCAAGAUAAAUCAAAAAUAGAAUAUGAAAAAAAGCAAAGACAAGAAGUAAAAUCAUGUAUGCGAUAUAAAUAAGAAAACUUAAACAGAUUCUUUUCAUAUCAAGAUCUCAGAAUCAUGAAAUAAAUUUAUAUAUCAGGAAUUAAGUCAAUUUCCCUUCUAAAUGUUUCCCAUCCUAACCUAUGAAGAACCAAAAUCAAUGGUAUUUAAACCACAUUAAUAAAAAGAUACAAUAACCACAAUAUCUACAAGUACAAGGAUUGCACCAACCCAAUAUUUACUGUUGAAUUCACACGCCACAUCACUUUGUCUCAUUGCUUCCUUUCUCAAAAAGGUCACAAAAGCCAACUCAGAAAUACUUUGUUCUAACACUAAAGAGCUCAAAGUGCUCUUGUGCAAGGGGGGGAAAAUAAAAAAAAGAAAAGAAAAGAAAAACACGCUACCAGCGUAGCAGAUUCUACUGAAUGAAAUCAAAGCAGUGCUUGCUUCAGCAGUACAUAUACUAAAAUUGGAACAAUACAGAGAUUAGCACCGCCCCUGCGCAAGGAUGAAAUUCAAGUAGUCAGAGGCUAGAGAGAACAAUUCAUACACCUACCUAGCUAUGGGCACACGGAACAAGCAAGUUGUAUCAACUUCAGAAUUCCACUGGCAGACUCAACAAAUAACAAAAACACUUGCUUUAUCAGAUACAUUCGAAUCUAGUGAUCUUAGGAAAUCCCUCUCACUGGCUAAGCAACCAUCUUAUCAGUCUAAGUGACGACCCGUUUUUGCCUUCAAUCUACAGAUAAAGUAAAUCAAAACUAUUACAUAUAUUGGCUAAAUAAAAUCUGAGGCAAGUGAUAAUUUUUCUAGCAACUUAUUCAACAUGUGCAAGUAGUAAACAAUAACAAAAAACACCAGUAAAGUAACACAUGAAUAAAACAUAUCAGAAUCAGUCAUCUUUUUAAAUGAACACUGGAUAUUAAAAA